rnacentral:rRNA from 1 species
AGUGAACGCUGGCGGCGUGCCUAAUACAUGCAAGUCGAACGGAGUGGCGCACGGGUGAGUAAUAUAUAGCUAAUCUGCCCCUUGCUGUGGGACAACAGUUAGAAAUGACUGCUAAUACUCCAUAGCAAGGGAUGAGACUAUAUCGUAUCAGCUAGUCGGUGGGGUAACGGCCUACCGAGGGUAUGACGCGUAACUGGUCUGAGAGGAUAAUCAGUAACAUUGGAACUGAGGCACGGUCCAAGCUCCUACGGCAGGGAGCAGUAGGGAAUAGGGCGAAAUGGGCGAAACCCUGAAGCAGCAACGCCGCGUGGAGGAUGACACUUUGCGGAGCGUAAACUCCUUUGGUUAGGGAAGCGGUACCUAACGAAUAAGCACCGGCUAACUCCGUGCCAGCAGCCGCGGUAAUUC